GCUCUGGUGGCACAACAGUUAAGUGCUCGGCUGCAAACUGAAAGGUCAGUGGUUCAAAUCCACCCAGCGCC
rnacentral:tRNA from 1 species